UAUUAACACGUCGGCUACAAACAAGAAAUAUUAAAGGGAUGCACUUAAGAGUAAUUGAGGCCUCCGCUGUGCAUGUGAAUUUGUGACCACGCUGGGUCAGAUGAUGUUAUAAACAUCAUUCAGUAUUCUGUGGUCAGCAUCGGGCUGACUCA